rnacentral:rRNA from 1 species
AGCGUACACGGUGGAUGCCCUGGCAGUCAGAGGCGAUGAAGGACGUGCUAAUCUGCGAUAAGCGUCGGUAAGGUGAUAUGAACCGUUAUAACCGGCGAUUUCCGAAUGGGGAAACCCAGUGUGAUUCGUCACACUAUCAUUAACUGAAUCCAUAGGUUAAUGAGGCGAACCGGGGGAACUGAAACAUCUAAGUACCCCGAGGAAAAGAAAUCAACCGAGAUUCCCCCAGUAGCGGCGAGCGAACGGGGAGCAGCCCAGAGCCUGAAUCAGUGUGUGUGUUAGUGGAAGCGUCUGGAAAGGCGCGCGAUACAGGGUGACAGCCCCGUACACAAAAAUGCACAUGCUGUGAGCUCGAUGAGUAGGGCGGGACACGUGGUAUCCUGUCUGAAUAUGGGGGGACCAUCCUCCAAGGCUAAAUACUCCUGACUGACCGAUAGUGAACCAGUACCGUGAGGGAAAGGCGAAAAGAACCCCGGCGAGGGGAGUGAAAAAGAACCUGAAACCGUGUACGUACAAGCAGUGGGAGCACGCUUAGGCGUGUGACUGCGUACCUUUUGUAUAAUGGGUCAGCGACUUAUAUUCUGUAGCAAGGUUAACCGAAUAGGGGAGCCGAAGGGAAACCGAGUCUUAACUGGGCGUUAAGUUGCAGGGUAUAGACCCGAAACCCGGUGAUCUAGCCAUGGGCAGGUUGAAGGUUGGGUAACACUAACUGGAGGACCGAACCGACUAAUGUUGAAAAAUUAGCGGAUGACUUGUGGCUGGGGGUGAAAGGCCAAUCAAACCGGGAGAUAGCUGGUUCUCCCCGAAAGCUAUUUAGGUAGCGCCUCGUGAAUUCAUCUCCGGGGGUAGAGCACUGUUUCGGCAAGGGGGUCAUCCCGACUUACCAACCCGAUGCAAACUGCGAAUACCGGAGAAUGUUAUCACGGGAGACACACGGCGGGUGCUAACGUCCGUCGUGAAGAGGGAAACAACCCAGACCGCCAGCUAAGGUCCCAAAGUCAUGGUUAAGUGGGAAACGAUGUGGGAAGGCCCAGACAGCCAGGAUGUUGGCUUAGAAGCAGCCAUCAUUUAAAGAAAGCGUAAUAGCUCACUGGUCGAGUCGGCCUGCGCGGAAGAUGUAACGGGGCUAAACCAUGCACCGAAGCUGCGGCAGCGACACUAUGUGUUGUUGGGUAGGGGAGCGUUCUGUAAGCCUGCGAAGGUGUGCUGUGAGGCAUGCUGGAGGUAUCAGAAGUGCGAAUGCUGACAUAAGUAACGAUAAAGCGGGUGAAAAGCCCGCUCGCCGGAAGACCAAGGGUUCCUGUCCAACGUUAAUCGGGGCAGGGUGAGUCGACCCCUAAGGCGAGGCCGAAAGGCGUAGUCGAUGGGAAACAGGUUAAUAUUCCUGUACUUGGUGUUACUGCGAAGGGGGGACGGAGAAGGCUAUGUUGGCCGGGCGACGGUUGUCCCGGUUUAAGCGUGUAGGCUGGUUUUCCAGGCAAAUCCGGAAAAUCAAGGCUGAGGCGUGAUGACGAGGCACUACGGUGCUGAAGCAACAAAUGCCCUGCUUCCAGGAAAAGCCUCUAAGCAUCAGGUAACAUCAAAUCGUACCCCAAACCGACACAGGUGGUCAGGUAGAGAAUACCAAGGCGCUUGAGAGAACUCGGGUGAAGGAACUAGGCAAAAUGGUGCCGUAACUUCGGGAGAAGGCACGCUGAUAUGUAGGUGAAGUCCCUCGCGGAUGGAGCUGAAAUCAGUCGAAGAUACCAGCUGGCUGCAACUGUUUAUUAAAAACACAGCACUGUGCAAACACGAAAGUGGACGUAUACGGUGUGACGCCUGCCCGGUGCCGGAAGGUUAAUUGAUGGGGUUAGCGCAAGCGAAGCUCUUGAUCGAAGCCCCGGUAAACGGCGGCCGUAACUAUAACGGUCCUAAGGUAGCGAAAUUCCUUGUCGGGUAAGUUCCGACCUGCACGAAUGGCGUAAUGAUGGCCAGGCUGUCUCCACCCGAGACUCAGUGAAAUUGAACUCGCUGUGAAGAUGCAGUGUACCCGCGGCAAGACGGAAAGACCCCGUGAACCUUUACUAUAGCUUGACACUGAACAUUGAGCCUUGAUGUGUAGGAUAGGUGGGAGGCUUUGAAGUGUGGACGCCAGUCUGCAUGGAGCCGACCUUGAAAUACCACCCUUUAAUGUUUGAUGUUCUAACGUUGACCCGUGAUCCGGGUUGCGGACAGUGUCUGGUGGGUAGUUUGACUGGGGCGGUCUCCUCCUAAAGAGUAACGGAGGAGCACGAAGGUUGGCUAAUCCUGGUCGGACAUCAGGAGGUUAGUGCAAUGGCAUAAGCCAGCUUGACUGCGAGCGUGACGGCGCGAGCAGGUGCGAAAGCAGGUCAUAGUGAUCCGGUGGUUCUGAAUGGAAGGGCCAUCGCUCAACGGAUAAAAGGUACUCCGGGGAUAACAGGCUGAUACCGCCCAAGAGUUCAUAUCGACGGCGGUGUUUGGCACCUCGAUGUCGGCUCAUCACAUCCUGGGGCUGAAGUAGGUCCCAAGG